GCGAAUAUAAAUUAAUGGUAAAUUAUUUGCCUUCCAAGCUAAGGAUGUGAGUUCGAAUCUCACUAUUCGCA
rnacentral:tRNA from 1 species